CGGCGGUAGCUCAGCCCGGCAGAGCUCAUUUGAACCCCGGCGGGUCGCCCCCAUAUCCGGCCGCCUGCGUGAUGGUCCGGAGCGGGUCGAAGGCUGUUGCUUAUCUACCGUCAGGUAAUCGCGGGUUCGAAUCCCGUCCGUCGCU
rnacentral:tRNA from 1 species